ACCAAGCUGUUCGUCUUCUGUAGACUAGUAAUGAAGAACCUUAGUUAAGUCCCUCCAUCUUGGAUGGGGCGCCAUUUUGUCAGUUACGUGAAUUAGUUUCGAUUAAUAAAAACCCUGCGCCGUUCUGCCUCGGGGCUCACAAUCCUGAACCGAUCGCUUCGUCGGGGACGACUGGGGCCCAGGCUCGCGCCUGAAUAAACUGCCCUCGUGCGCUUGCAUCGGACUCGGCCUCCUCUGCUGGUCUGGGGAACUUUGAGAUCUGGGCAUAACGUUUGCGGAUGCUGGUUACCACGGUAACCGGAGGAGGGCGGAGUUUGCUUCCAACCCGGAACUGACGGCGGAAUUCUGGCGGGCCGCUUGUGCUGUGAAACCACCGUUGCACCCAAGAGGGACACGAACCCACCCGCACCAAAUAGAGGUCGAGGCGACCCCCGUCUCGGCUUCCGUGUCAAGGGGAGUUGAAAAAGUGCUGCACGUGUCUCCCUGGCUCUUGUUCCUCUGUAGCCGUCUCCCUCGCGUUCCUGCUACGCGGGGAAGGGAAGCCCGUGACCGCGGUUCCUUGGAAUAAAGGCCAUCUAACUUCCUUUUACGAAUUCGGCCGAGUUAUUCUUUCCCUGGUGGUCAGCGAAUCUAACGGGCUCGUCUGGAAUCCCCAAGGUCUCCAGGACCUCCAACCCUAAGGGCAGCAGUGCUCUACAGUGGGCCCAUGUCUAGCAGAGACUGAAGACUUUUUAUGAGACUGGACCACCCCCCGAGCCUCACGGCUAUUGACCGUUGGGUGUUCGCCUGCCGCCACAGACACAAAAACCUUGAACCUUGUUGGAAAGGGCCUUUUGUUGUCAUCCUGACCACCUCCACCGCUCUCAAAGUCGACGAAAUUGCUAUGUGGGUCCACAAUACACACGUCCAUCCCGCAGAUCCCUUCCCUGCACAAGAAGACUAACUGCCAGAAUGGAAGGCCGUCAAGGACAACAGCCCCCUCAAACUAAGAUUUCAGUGCAUCUAAUCAUAUGCCUCACAUUUGUUAUGAUUUCUGCUUGCAGGGGUUUGGGGUCCCCUGAGCCACUGAACCUUCAUCAGACUUACAGGUGGGAAUUGGUCCGGUGGGAAGAUUGGACUAAAGUAGGAGAAUUUGUGGGAUCACUGGAAAGUGAUACUCCUCAUUUUGUAACCACCUUGUGUAAGCUUGUACCUCGCGAACCUUGCCUCAAUUCCAUCGGGUUUUAUAUGUGUCCUGCUGAGGGACCCAGUGAUUGUAAUUAUACCAAUCAUUAUUACUGUGCAUACUGGGGAUGUGAGACAGUGGCCAGUUCAUGGGAACUAGACCCACAGGCCAAAGACAAAGAUGUGAAAGUCGAUUGGUGGCCCCCUAACUGCCGCCCAUAUAGAGGAAUAGUUGCGGAAGCUGGGGGAAGUUUCUGUGAACAAAUCAACAUAAACAUCACUGACCCAAAGGAUCCUAAGUGGACUGUAGGAAAAGUAUGGGGCCUCAGAUACUAUGAAGAGGGGCCCGACCAAGGCGGACUAUUCACCAUCCAGAGAUUCCCAGUAUUGGCCACCCCUACUUCAGCCUUGGGCCUAAACCAGACAAUAGCACCUGGCCUAGAUUUUAACACACUCUCCAACUCCUCAAGGCCAGAUGGAGUUACUGACAUGACUCCAAUUUCCAAGCCCAUGCCAUCUGGCAAUGCCCCCCAAAACUUUCUGUGAGAACUCAUGCGGAGUACCUGGGCGGUUCUUAAUGCUUCCCAUCCAAACUUGACACAGUCAUGCUGGUUGUGCUAUGAUG